GCGGUCGUGGUGUAAUGGCAGCACAGCACUCUGUGGCAGUGCUAGAGGGAGUCCGAAUCUCCUCGAUCGCC
rnacentral:tRNA from 1 species